rnacentral:rRNA from 1 species
UACGUAGGGGGCAAGCGUUGCCCGGAUUUAUUGGGCGUAAAGAGCGUGUAGGCGGCCAUGCAGGUCCGCUGUGAAAACUGGAGGCUUAACCUCCAGACGUCGGUGGAAACCGCAUGGCUAGAGUCCGGAAGAGGAGAGUGGAAUUCCCGGUGUAGCGGUGAAAUGCGCAGAUAUCGGGAAGAACACCCGUGGCGAAGGCGGCUCUCUGGGACGGUACUGACGCUGAGACGCGAAAGCGUGGGGAGCGAACAGG